CCGCUACAGUGGAUUCCAUCCACCUCCACCACGUCGUCGUCUUAUGGGUGAUCUUGCCUAC
rnacentral:ribozyme from 1 species